rnacentral:rRNA from 1 species
GAUAAACGCUGGCGGCGUGCCUAAUACAUGCAAGUCGAACGAGGAGUUCUUGUAGCAAUACGGGAAUUUCCUAGUGGCGAAUGGGUGAGUAACGCGUUGGUGACCUGCCCCGAAGAGAGGAAUAACUCCGGGAAACUGGAGCUAAUACCUCAUGUGGUUACCAGGGUUAGAGGCCUGGCAACUGAAGGAGCAAUCCACUUUGGGAGGGACCUGCGUCCCAUCAGCUAGUUGGUAGGGUAACGGCCUACCAAGGCUUUUGACGGGUAGCUGGCCUGAGAGGGUGGUCAGCCACACGGGGACUGAGACACUGCCCCGACACCUACGGGUGGCUG